AUUGAACGCUGGCGGCAGGCCUAACACAUGCAAGUCGAACGAGUGGCGGACGGGUGAGUAAUGUCUGGGAAACUGCCUGAUGGAGGGGGAUAACUAAUGGAAACGGUAGCUAAUACCGCAUACCAUCAGCGGUGCACAGAUGGGAUUAGCUAGUUGGGGGGGUAACGGCGCACCAAGGCGACGAUCCCUAGCUGGUCUGAGAGGAUGACCAGCCACACUGGAACUGUGAAACGGUCCAGACUCCGACGGGAGGCAGCAGUGGUGAAUAUUGCACAAUGGUCGCAAGCCUGAUGCAGCCAUGCCGCGUGUAUGAAGAAGGCCUUCGGGUUGUAAAGUACUUUCAGCGGGGAGGCGUUACCCGCAGAAGAAGCACCGGCUAACUCCGUGCCAGCAGCCGCGGUAAUUC
rnacentral:rRNA from 1 species